rnacentral:hammerhead_ribozyme from 1 species
AUAUAGCUGACCAGUUCCAAAUAGGACGAAACGAGCUUCCUGGAU